AACGAACGCUGGCGGCAGGCUUAACACAUGCAAGUCGAGCGCCCCGCAAGGGGAGCGGCAGACGGGUGAGUAACGCGUGGGAAUCUACCCAUCUCUACGGAAUAACGCAUGGAAACGUGUGCUAAUAACGUAUACGUCCUUCGGGCGUAAGAUUUAUCGGAGAUGGAUGAGUCCGCGUUGGAUUAGCUAGUUGGUGGGGUAAAGGCCUACCAAGGGGACGAUCCAUAGCUGGUCUGAGAGGAUGAUCAGCCACACUGGGACUGAGACACGGCCCAGACUCCUACGGGAGGCAGCAGUGGGGGAUAUUGGACAAUGGGCGCAAGCCUGAUCCAGCCAUGCCGCGUGAGUGAUGAAGGCCCUAGGGUUGUAAAGCUCUUUCACCGGUGAAGAUAAUGACGGUAACCGGAGAAGAAGCCCCGGCUAAUUUCGUGCCAGCCGCCGCGGUAACAC
rnacentral:rRNA from 1 species